AACAUAAGAGUUUGAUCCUGGCUCAGGACGAACGCUGGCGGCGUGCUUAACACAUGCAAGUCGAACGAAGAAUACUGGGUGCUUGCACUUGGUAUUACUUAGUGGCGGACGGGUGAGUAACGCGUGAGGAAUCUGCCUCAGUCAGGGGGACAACAGUUAGAAAUGGCUGCUAAUACCGCAUAAGACCACGGAGUGGCAUCACUUUGUGGUAAAAGAGAUAUGUAUCGGACUGAGAUGACCUUGCGUCCUAUUAGUUAGUUGGUGGGGUAACGGCCUACCAAGACCGCGAUAGGUAGCCGACCUGAGAGGGUGAACGGCCACACUGGAACUGAGAGACGGACCAGACUCCUACGGGAGGCAGCAGUGGGGAAUAUUGGGCAAUGGAGGCAACUCUGACCCAGCAACGCCGCGUGAAGGAAGAAGGCCUUCGGGUUGUAAACUUUUGUUGUAGAGGACGAAGA
rnacentral:rRNA from 1 species